GGAGAUGUGUAUAAGAGACAGGGUCACACCCGUUCCCAUACCGAACACGGAAGUUAAGCUCUUCAGCGCCGAUGGUAGUUGGGGGUCUCCCCCUGUGA
rnacentral:rRNA from 1 species